GAUGAACGCUGGCGGCGUGCUUAACACAUGCAAGUCGAACGAAGCGUUUAAGACAGAUUACUUCGGUUUGAAGUCUUUUAUGACUGAGUGGCGGACGGGUGAGUAACGCGUGGGUAACCUGCCUCAUACAGGGGGAUAGCAGCUGGAAACGGCUGGUAAUACCGCAUAAGCGCACAGUACCACAUGGUACAGUGUGAAAAACUCCGGUGGUAUGAGAUGGACCCGCGUCUGAUUAGCUUGUUGGCGGGGUAACGGCCCACCAAGGCGACGAUCAGUAGCCGACCUGAGAGGGUGACCGGACACAUUGGGACUGAGACACGGCCCAGACUCCUACGGGAGGCAGCAGUGGGGAAUAUUGCACAAUGGAGGAAACGCUGAUGCAGCGACGCCGCGUGAGUGAAGAAGUAGUUCGCUAUGUAAAGCUCUAUCAGCAGGGAAGAUAGUGACGGUACCUGACUAAGAAGCUCCGGCUAAAUACGUG
rnacentral:rRNA from 1 species